UUUGUCUAGAUAGCCAUGCACGUCUAAGUACAAACUAAAUGAUGGUGAAACUGCAAAUGGCUCAUUACAACGGUUAUGAUGUACCCGGGAGUUCCGAUGGAUAUUUCCAGUAACACUAGAACUAAUACAUGUCCCUGCGUUUAUUAGUUUCGCACAGUCCGUCGCUGAGUCAUGGUAAACAGUUGAUCGACUCGACGUCCCGGAACAGCUUCCGCCCCAUCAGCUUCGAUGGUUGGGUAUUGGCCUACCAUUGCAACAACGGGUAACGAGGAAUUAGGGUUUGAUUUCGGAGAGGGAGCCUGAGAAACGGCUACCACAUCUACGGAUGGCAGCAGGCGCGCAAAUUACCCAAUGCAGACACUGUGAGGUAGUGACGAGAAAUAAUAAAGCGGGACUUCUGUUUCGCUAUUAUAAUGAGGAAUAACCAAAGGUCAUUCCGAUUAGCAACUGAUGGGAAAGUCUGGUGCCAGCAGCCGCGGUAAUACCAGCGUCAGUAGCAU
rnacentral:rRNA from 1 species